rnacentral:lncRNA from 1 species
GUCACCCUGUUCUGUUGUGCAAGAAUUUUGGGGAAAGUGAUCUUAGGUUUAACUAGUUUAUAGAGGAUUUGAGAAAUAUUGUAACAUCCAGAGUUUCUAGGAUUGGGCUGUGGUGGAGAUCGUGUUGGUUUUAUUAUUAAUAACCCUUACUAUGAGUAUUUUCAUUCAAUCCACAGGUAUCUAUUGAGCCUAAUUUGCACCAGACUCUGCUGAGUACCAUGGAGUUUAAACUAAUUAAGUAUGAGAAAUGGUUUUUCCCCUUGGGUUAUAAGAGACCCCCCCUCCCAUCCAAAAAAGAAAACUCUUGAAACAAUAGAGGAUUGCAAGGUGCUGAAAAAUGCACAGGUACUGGAGACGUUUAACCUGGAG